UACAGAGGGUGCAAGCGUUGCUCGGAAUUAUUGGGCGUAAGGGGCAAGUAGGUGGUCUCAUUUGUCUGGGGUGAAAGCCUUGAGCUUAACUCAAGAAGUGCCCCGGAAACGGUGAGACUCGAGUACUGGAGAGGGUCGUGGAAUUCCCGGUGUAGCGGUGAAAUGCGUAGAGAUCGGGAGGAACACCAGAGGCGAAGGCGGCGACCUGGACAGUAACUGACACUCAACUGCGAAAGCGUGGGGAGCAAACAGG
rnacentral:rRNA from 1 species